UCCAAAUCAACCUGAGAUGCUGGGACUGGAAGAAGGAGCCUGAGUUGGUCUCUGAGGCAGGAAACAAGGUUGCCAACCACGUGGGAGCAGGGCCAAGAGGCUAAGAAAGGGGGAGGCUCUGUGUCAGGGUUUUGAGGCAAAAUGGCCCCAUCACCUUCUGUGCCACUGGCUUCUGUGACAUAAGCCAGUCUCUCCAGGGUGGAGGGUUGGUGCCAAGGCUGGGUGCGGCCUCUUCAGAGCUGUUGAGAAAGUCACAGAGUUGGAGGGCUCUCCUGUCUUAUGAGUCAAGGCCGGAAUGUGGGGGGCAGGCAGAGAAGGGCUCUGAUACAUAGUUUUCUUUCUGUGAAGAUACAGAUACAUCUACAGAAUAUUUUUAGUCAAUUCACUUUUCACUGUUGACUUUUGUUGUUUUUUACUUCCUCUAUUAUGAACAUACUUGAGCAUCUAAGAGGUUAAGGCUGCACAAUAAUUAUUAGAUUAGAAGCACAAGCAUCGGUUCAAAUGCUUCUACAUGGCCCGCCAAAGUGCCAUCUUAAGUUGUGAAGCAGGAGACAACCAGACUGCCAAGUGUAAUAUUUGUCUUUGGAAGCGUGGCCCCUGUGGAACAGCAGUAGCCCUUAAGCUGCCUCCAAGGUUUCUCUUAGCCAGCGUGUUGGCCAAACAGUCCCGCUCUUCAUUCGUUUUUUUCAGGCUUGGGAGGGGGCUGUUUUCAUGGGAAGAGACUGUCUAGGCACCGAGGAGGCUGUGGCAGUGGUGGGGGUCCGUGCCCGGGGUCCGUGCCCAGGGUCCUGCUCACACCAGGGCUCCCCCUUCCAGUCUACCUCUGGCAGAGUCAGGGAAACCCGCUGGGUUUGUGGAAACAGUGGAACGGAUGAGGCUGGCGCACCAACAAAAGCUCAGUGUUCCACCCACUCUGAAGCUGGCGCCAAGAUCCGUUCUCCAGAGACACUGACGGCUCUGUUCUGGGCAGGGCCAGCCUUGCGUCACCCACUGGGAGAAGGCGCGAGCUCGACCUCUCCCGGAAAGCCGCGGAGCCGCCAGGGAGCCUGCCGGACCCUGACCCCGGAUAGGCUGGGUGUUCACUUCCGGGAGGCCAUUCGGCUUUCUCCUGGCGCCCUGUGGAGGCCGAGGGCGCCUCAGCUUCUCACAGGGAAGGAGGAGGAGGACGCGGUCAGCCCCAGGACGCUGCCUUGUGAGCGGCUCCUGACCCCACCCUGCCCUGGCUGGACUCCUGGGCCCAGAGGCCUCCCAGAUCACAAAGGGCAACGGAGGGGAGAAAAAGUUUUCAAAGGUAGAAUCAGGGCAGGUUCCAGGCGCCAGCCCUGGGAAUGUGUGAAGGUGCCCCGUGGACUGGGAGUGGGUGCAGGCAGUGUGAUGGGACGUGCUUACCUAUGAGAGGCCUGAUCUCCUUACAUGGACUGAGUGCAGUAGAAUCUUGACUGCAGGGCCUCCGCUGUGAAAGAAAGCCAAAGAAAUCUUGGAGGCGCUGGCGCUGUUUCCUGGGCCUGUUGUGGCGCAUUAAUCAUGUCAGCUGCUGAGAGAGCCUGGAGGCGGGUGAACACAGAUACAGAAGGAUUUGGGGAUGUGUGGAGAAGACAGAACCCUGGGGAGACAGGAGGAGAAUGAGAGAUGUUGGAGUACUUGGCCUCAGUGAACGUCCUCUUUCACACUUGGUAUUUUCUUCCUGGCAAAUUGGAUGUUACCAACUGCAGCCACAAGAUUGUUGAAAGAAUAAAGCUUUCAUUCCAGAAAGCCUCCCCUGGACACAGAGAUGUGUACCAGUAGAGCUUUCUGCUAAAUCUUCAGAAUCUGUAAUUUAUCUGAGCAUCUUCCCCAUCUCUUUGCUCCUAAUUUCCCUUCCUAUGACAGACACUCUCCCUUCCCUUUGCCUCUCUGUACUUGGAUUAAUUGCACCCUUUUAGCAGAAUCUGAAAAGUCUUAGGGUUAUGUUGAAGGAAACUUGGGAGAUUCAAUCUGGGCAUGUGUGUGUGGGUUCCAGACACUGUAGACUGGAGAGCAUCCCCACCACCUGCCCGCCAAGAGCCUGGAGUUCAAGAUCAAAGGUACAUCCUAGCCUUCAUAGGUCAAGCUUCUCCCUCUCAGGGUGAGAGUCCUGCUAGUGUCACACAACCAAAAGGUCCACUGGAUACCCC
rnacentral:lncRNA from 1 species